UACGGAGGGUGCAAGCGUUAAUCGGAAUUACUGGGCGUAAAGCGUGCGUAGGCGGUUCGUUAAGUCUGUUGUGAAAGCCCCGGGCUCAACCUGGGAACUGCGUUUGUGACUGUAUGACUAGAGUACGGUAGAGAGGGGUGGAAUUCCUGGUGUAGCAGUGAAAUGCGUAGAUAUUGGGAAGAACACCGGUGGCGAAGGCGGCGAGCUGGUCCAUUACUGACGCUGAGGCGCGACAGCGUGGGGAGCAAACAGG
rnacentral:rRNA from 1 species